rnacentral:rRNA from 1 species
CCCUUAGACGUUCUGGGCCGCACGCGCGCUACACUGACCAGUGCAACAAGCAUCCGUCCUUGGCCGACAGGCUCGGGCAAUCUUUGAACGCUGGUCGUGAUGGGGAUAGACUUUUGCAAUUUUUGGUCUUCAACGAGGAAUUCCUAGUAAACGCAAGUCAUCAACUUGCAUUGAUUACGUCCCUGCCCUUUGUACACACCGCCCGCCGCACCUACCGAUUGAAUGGUCCGGUGAAGCCUCCGGAUUGGCGCGCACCUCGGUGCCGCCGAGAAGUUGGCUAAACCUUACCAUUUAGAGGAAGGUGAANUCGUANCA